rnacentral:tRNA from 1 species
GCCUAACUAGCUCAGUCAAUAAAACAUAAAACUCCUAAUUUCUGAGUUGUGGGUUCAAGCCCCAUGUUGGGUA